GAUGAACGCUGGCGGCGUGCUUAACACAUGCAAGUCGAACGGGAAACUUUUCAUUGAAGCUUCGGCAGAUUUGGUCUGUUUCUAGUGGCGGACGGGUGAGUAACGCGUGGGUAACCUGCCUUAUACAGGGGGAUAACAACCAGAAAUGGUUGCUAAUACCGCAUAAGCGCACAGGACCGCAUGGUCCGGUGUGAAAAACUCCGGUGGUAUAAGAUGGACCCGCGUUGGAUUAGCUAGUUGGCAGGGUAACGGCCUACCAAGGCGACGAUCCAUAGCCGGCCUGAGAGGGUGAACGGCCACAUUGGGACUGAGACACGGCCCAGACUCCUACGGGAGGCAGCAGUGGGGAAUAUUGCACAAUGGGGGAAACCCUGAUGCAGCGACGCCGCGUGAAGGAAGAAGUAUCUCGGUAUGUAAACUUCUAUCAGCAGGGAAG
rnacentral:rRNA from 1 species